UCGAGAAUCUUCCGCAAUGGGCGAAAGCCUGACGGAGCGACGCCGCGUGAUUGAAGAAGUCCCUUUGGGACGUAAAGAUCUUUUAUGAGGGAAGAAGUUUAUUGACGGUACCUCAUGAAUAAGAGGCUCCUAAUCUCGUGCCAGCAGGAGCGGUAAUACGAGAGCCUCGAGCGUUAUCCGAAAUUAUUGGGCGUAAAGGGUGCGUAGGUUGUUUUAUUAGUCUUUUGUUAAAUACUCGGGCUUAACUUGAGAAUCGCAAAAGAAACGGUAAAACUAGAAAAUGCGAGAGGUGUAUGGAACUCAUGGUGUAGGGGUGAAAUCCGUUGAUAUCAUGGGGAACACCAAAAGCGAAGGCAAUACACUGGCGCAUAUUUGACACUCAAGCACGAAAGCGUGGGUA
rnacentral:rRNA from 1 species